rnacentral:rRNA from 1 species
GCCAGGGGGGCGUGCUAUACAUGCAGUCGAGCGAAGAGAUGGGAGCUUGCUCCCAGAUCUUAGCGGCGGACGGGUGAGUAACACGUGGGCAACCUGCCCUGCAGACUGGGAUAACUCCGGGAAACCGGAGCUAAUACCGGGUAAUACAUCGCACCGCAUGGUGCAAUGUUGAAAGUUGGCUUUCUGAGCUAACACUGCAGGAUGGGCCCGCGGCGCAUUAGCUAGUUGGUAAGGUAAUGGCUUACCAAGGCAACGAUGCGUAGCCGACCUGAGAGGGUGAUCGGCCACACUGGGACUGAGACACGGCCCAGACUCCUACGGGAGGCAGCAGUAGGGAAUCUUCCGCAAUGGACGAAAGUCUGACGGAGCAACGCCGCGUGAGUGACGAAGGCCUUCGGGUCGUAAAGCUCUGUUGUUAGGGAAGAACAAGUACCGUUCGAAUAGGGCGGUACCUUGACGGUACCUAACCAGAAAGCCACGGCUAACUACGUGCCAGCAGCCGCGGUAAU